UACUUCAAAAAUAUGUAGUCAGCUACAACUACUGCUACUUUUGAACAAAGGUAGUUCGCUACUGACUACAGCUACUGCUUAAAAAAUGUAGCGAACCAUUUCGCUAUUUCGCUACGCUCGAUAUUUUUUAGUUAAACUGUAUUUGGAGCAUCUAUACUAACUCAGACUGUAAUGUAACCUAUAACAAAUCGACUUACGAGUAGCAACAGUAAACACAAAGCAACAUUUUUGUAAUCACUA